rnacentral:tRNA from 2 species
GCGUCCAUAGCUCAGCUGGAUAGAGCAACGCCCUUCUAAGGCGUAGGCCAAAGGUUCGAAUCCUUUUGGGCGUACCA